rnacentral:rRNA from 1 species
GUGGGGAAUCUUGCGCAAUGGGCGAAAGCCUGACGCAGUCAUGCCGCGUGAAUGAUGAAGGUCUUAGGAUUGUAAAAUUCUUUCACCGGGGACGAUAAUGACGGUACCCGGAGAAGAAGCUCCGGCUAACUUCGUGCCAGCAGCCGCGGUAAUACGAAGGGGGCUAGCGUUGCUCGGAAUUACUGGGCGUAAAGGGCGCGUAGGCGGACAGCUUAGUCAGAGGUGAAAGCCCAGGGCUCAACCUUGGAAUUGCCUUUGAUACUGGCUGUCUUGAGUUUGGGAGAGGUGAGUGGAACUCCGAGUGUAGAGGUGAAAUUCGUAGAUAUUCGGAAGAACACCAGUGGCGAAGGCGACUCACUGGCCCAAUACUGACGCUGAGGCGCGAAAGCGUGGGGAGCAAACAGGAUUAGAAACCCCUGUAGUCC